AUACGUAGGGUGCGAGCGUUAAUCGGAAUUACUGGGCGUAAAGCGUGCGCAGGCGGUUGUGCAAGACAGAUGUGAAAUCCCCGGGCUCAACCUGGGAACUGCAUUUGUGACUGCACGACUAGAGUACGGCAGAGGGGGGUAGAAUUCCACGUGUAGCAGUGAAAUGCGUAGAGAUGUGGAGGAAUACCGAUGGCGAAGGCAGCCCCCUGGGCCGAUACUGACGCUCAUGCACGAAAGCGUGGGGAGCAAACAGGAUUAGAUACCCUGGUAGUCCACGCCCUAAACGAUGUCAACUAGUUGUUGGUAGGGUUAAACCUAUUAGUAACGUAGCUAACGCGUGAAGUUGACCGCCUGGGGAGUACGGUCGCAAGAUUAAA
rnacentral:rRNA from 1 species